UACGGAGGAUGCAAGCGUUAUCCGGAAUGAUUGGGCGUAAAGCGUCCGCAGGUGGCUGUGUAAGUCUGCUGUCAAAGAGCGAAGCUCAACUUCGUAAAGGCAGUGGAAACUACACGGCUAGAGUGCGUUCGGGGCAGAGGGAAGUUCCUGGUGUAGCGGUGAAAUGCGUAGAGAUCAGGAAGAACACCCGUGGCGGAAGGCGGCUCUCUGGGACGGUACUGGACGCUGAGACGCGAAAGCCGUGGGGAGCGAACAGG
rnacentral:rRNA from 1 species